AAGGCCUGUUGGACGGGGGAUCCGAGAAAGUGUCCGAGUCGGAGCUGAUGUCGUCGUAUUCCACCAGAGGCUUCACCGUGUUGACACCAGGAGGCGCCGUAUUACCCGGGGCAAAAACCCCGGGUCGCGGUACCGCCACGGAUUCUCGAGGUGUGAGCUGGGCCUUGGGUCUGGUGUGGCACGCCGCCGCUCGAAACAGUCUUCCUCUUGGUCCCAUGGUGUCGGUCCGACCCUGGCAUACCUCACGCCGGCUUCCGUGUUCCGAGAGAUUCAUCCACAAGAAAACAACGGCUACUUCAAAUGUCAAAACAAAGAGUUGCAAAGCAGAAACAGAACAAACACAAGCACAAAAUAAACACUCUAGGCCGCUCACGUCCA